rnacentral:rRNA from 1 species
CAAACCGACACAGGUAGUCAAGAUGAGAAUUCUAAGGUGAGCGAGCGAACUCUCGUUAAGGAACUCGGCAAAAUGACCCCGUAACUUCGGGAGAAGGGGUGCUCUUUAGGGUUAACGCCCAGAAGAGCCGCAGUGAAUAGGCCCAAGCGACUGUUUAUCAAAAACACAGGUCUCUGCUAAACCGUAAGGUGAUGUAUAGGGGCUGACGCCUGCCCGGUGCUGGAAGGUUAAGAGGAGUGGUUAGCUUCUGCGAAGCUACGAAUCGAAGCCCCAGUAAACGGCGGCCGUAACUAUAACGGUCCUAAGGUAGCGAAAUUCCUUGUCGGGUAAGUUCCGACCCGCACGAAAGGCGUAACGAUUUGGGCACUGUCUCAACGAGAGACUCGGUGAAAUCAUAGUACCUGUGAAGAUGCAGGUUACCCGCGACAGGACGGAAAGACCCCGUGGAGCUUUACUGUAGCCUGAUAUUGAAAUUCGGCACAGCUUGUACAGGAUAGGUAGGAGCCUUUGAAACGUGAGCGCUAGCUUACGUGGAGGCGCUGGUGGGAUACUACCCUAGCUGUGUUGGCUUUCUAACCCGCACCACUUAUCGUGGUGGGAGACAGUGUCAGGCGGGCAGUUUGACUGGGGCGGUCGCCUCCUAAAAGGUAACGGAGGCGCUCAAAGGUUCCCUCAGAAUGGUUGGAAAUCAUUCAUAGAGUGUAAAGGCAUAAGGGAGCUUGACUGCGAGACCUACAAGUCGAGCAGGGUCGAAAGACGGACUUAGUGAUCCGGUGGUUCCGCAUGGAAGGGCCAUCGCUCAACGGAUAAAAGCUACCCCGGGGAUAACAGGCUUAUCUCCCCCAAGAGUUCACAUCGACGGGGAGGUUUGGCACCUCGAUGUCGGCUCAUCGCAUCCUGGGGCUGUAGUCGGUCCCAAGGGUUGGGCUGUUCGCCCAUUAAAGCGGUACGCGAGCUGGGUUCAGAACGUCGUGAGACAGUUCGGUCCCUAUCCGUCGUGGGCGUAGGAAAUUUGAGAGGAGCUGUCCUUAGUACGAGAGGACCGGGAUGGACAUACCUCUGGUGUACCAGUUGUCGUGCCAACGGCAUAGCUGGGUAGCUAUGUGUGGACGGGAUAAGUGCUGAAAGCAUCUAAGCAUGAAGCCCCCCUCAAGAUGAGAUUUCCCAACUUCGGUUAUAAGAUCCCUCAAAGAUGAUGAGGUUAAUAGGUUCGAGGUGGAAGCAUGGUGACAUGUGGAGCUGACGAAUACUAA